UACAUGUCAUGUAAAAGACACAAGCUACAGCUUCCACUAGACCAUAAAAAUCAUUUCACGACAUUUCUCAUGUUUCAUUAAUGAAUGCAUAACAAUUACUGUAUUUCACAAGCAUGAAAUUUUUUGAGUAUUUAAUCUGUUGUACUUCUUCUAGCUCAAUCUCCGAAGCCUCAUCAUCGUUGCGGCCUGAUGAUUCCAAGUGUGUCGUCCCUGUUCUGCAGCCAGACAGGCCACGGUACCGCGAUCGCAGAAAGUGUAGCAUUAGUCCUCGGAAAUCUGGUUCCGCUCCUGCAGACUGGAGGCCUUCUCUUAACGCGAUUUCGGAGGAUAACAUUGUAGCUGUGAAGAGACACAACAGCUCCACUUCCGAAACAACUGCCAAACGGAAAGAUUCUCUUAUGCAUAAAUCUAAGGUCCGGACUAGUCGGUCCGAAGACUACAGGAGAGCUCCGAUGCCAGAUAUCAUACCAGCAUUCGCUCCGACACCGUUUCUGUUCUGACGACAUAGUGGAUCCAAUGAGCAUCUUUGUGUGUUAAAAGUCUUGCAGAUAGUAAUCUGUUUGUACAUAUGUAAUGCAUGAUGUCGAGUAUGUUCACAGUUUUGUCCUGCAGAUUUCCAGUUGAAUAAUCGUUUAUUAUUACCAGUUGUAUUUGAUUUCAGAUUGUAAAGAUUGUAGAGUUUUAUUGCGAUUAUCCACUCUUUGAGUCA